rnacentral:rRNA from 1 species
CAGCCGCCGCGGUAAUACGAAGGGGGCUAGCGUUGUUCGGAUUUACUGGGCGUAAAGCGCACGUAGGCGGGCUUUUAAGUCAGGGGUGAAAUCCCGGGGCUCAACCCCGGAACUGCCUUUGAUACUGGAAGUCUUGAGUAUGGAAGAGGUGAGUGGAAUUCCGAGUGUAGAUGUGAAAUUCGUAGAUAUUCGGAGGAACACCGGUGGCGAAGGCGGCUCACUGGUCCAUUACUGACGCUGAGGUGCGAAAGCGUGGGGAGCAAACAGGAUUAGAUACCCCCGUAGUCCCUGUCUCUUAUAC